AAUAUUGCGCAAUGGGCGAAAGCCUGACGCAGCAACGCCGCGUGAGGGAUGAAGGCCUUCGGGUUGUAAACCUCUUUUAUCAGGGAAGAAGCGAAAGUGACGGUACCUGAAGAAAAAGCACCGGCUAACUACGUGCCAGCAGCCGCGGUAAUACGUAGGGUGCAAGCGUUAUCCGGAAUUAUUGGGCGUAAAGAGCUCGUAGGCGGUUUGUCGCGUCUGCUGUGAAAAUCUGAGGCUCAACCUCGGACUUGCAGUGGGUACGGGCAGACUAGAGUGCGGUAGGGGAGAAGGGAAUUCCUGGUGUAGCGGUGGAAUGCGCAGAUAUCAGGAGGAACACCAAUGGCGAAGGCACUUCUCUGGGCCGCUACUGACGCUGAGGAGCGAAAGCGUGGGGAGCGAACAGG
rnacentral:rRNA from 1 species